UGAAUAUUUGAAAACGAAACAAUAUUUUAGAAAAAUGGUUUAGUGGUCAUUAUGAAACAAUAUUUGUUGCCCUUUGAAAUUCCACAUUGGUGUACAGUUGUGUGUGUGUGUCUGUGUGUGUGUGUGUGUGUAUGUUCUUCACUGCCUCUCAAAUUUCAA